GUAAUAUAAGAUACGGUCUCUUAGCUUUUAACUAAAAAAACUAAGAGACAUAUCUUAAAUAAGAGAUAUAAGACACGUCUCUUAGUUUUUUUAGUUAAAAGCUAAGAGACCGUAUCUUAUAUUAC
rfam:Brassica napus, WGS project CCCW01000000 data, contig: 1474